AGGAAGCUCAGAGGCGCAGAAUGGAUG
rnacentral:piRNA from 1 species